AUUGAACGCUGGCGGCAGGCCUAACACAUGCAAGUCGAGCGGAGCGGCGGCCGGGGGAGUAAUGCCUAGGAAUCUGCAUGGGAGUGGGGGAUAACGUCCGGAAACGGGCGCUAAUACCGCAUACUAUCAGAUUAGCCUAGGUCGGAUUAGCUAGUGGGUGGGGUAAAGGCAUACAAAGGCGACGACCCCUAACUGGUCUGAGAGGAUGAUCAGUCACACUGGAACUGAGACACGGUCCAGACUCCUACGGGAGGCAGCAGUGGGGAAGAUUGGACAAUGGGCGAAAGCCUGAUGCAGCCAUGCCGCGUGUGUGAAGAAGGGCUUCGGGUGGUAAAGCACUUUAAGUUGGGAGGCGUUACCAACAGAAUAAGCACCGGCUAACUCCGUGCCAGCAGCCGCGGUAAUUC
rnacentral:rRNA from 1 species